AUUGAACGCUGGCGGCAGGCCUAACACAUGCAAGUCGAGCGGAGGAAUGGAGCUUGCUCCUGGAUUCAGCGGCGGACGGGUGAGUAAUGCCUAGGAAUCUGCCUGGUAGUGGGGGAUAACGUCCGGAAACGGGCGCUAAUACCGCAUCCGUCCUGUGGGAGAAAGAGGGGGAUCUUCGGACCUCACGCUAUCAGGUGAGCAUAGGUCGGAUUAGCUAGUUGGUGGGGUAAAGGCCUACCAAGGCGACGAUCCGUAACUGGUCUGAGAGGAAGAUCAGUCACACUGUCACUGAGACACGGUCCAGACUCCUACGGGGAGACGCAGUGGGGAAUAUUGGACAAUGGGCGAAAGCGUGAUACAGCAAUGCCGGGUGUGGGCAGAAGGUCUUCGGAUGGUAAAGCACUUUAAGUUUGGAGGAAGUGCAGUACGUUAAUACCUUGCUGUUUUGACGUUACCAACAGAAUAAGCACCGGCUAACUUCGUG
rnacentral:rRNA from 1 species